CUGGACAAUGAACAGAGCAUUUGCUUUUCCAUAUGGUGCUUGCCUUAUUCUAGAGCUGAGUUUUGAGCCAUAUUGAAUGAGAUUUUUCUUGCUAAGCGACUUAUGAUUUUAGAUAUUUGGAUUGAGACUGACUCGAUUAUGACUGUUCACUGUAUUACCAGGGGUGGAGGACUGUGGGCAAUUUAGGGUACUCUCAGACAUAUUAGACCCCUCUUCCAUUUCAAUCGUGAUAUUAUUACUCAUAUAUACUUGAGUAAAACCAAUUUGUAGAUUCACUUGCCUCAAAGGGCUGUGACAGCAGUCAUUACCAGGAGUGUGGAUUGCAUGACCUUCCUCGAUAGCUCAGGGCUCUUUUUCAAAUUUAUAGACGUGAGCUUUAGAGAUUUGUAGCUUAGGACUCAUUUACUUUCGUUGUAUUGGGAGUAGUACUCCUCACUUAUUAUUUUGUUAAUGCUUUUACUACAUUUGUUGCUUUGUUGCUUUCUGGAAGUCAGAUUUAUGUCACACUCAUUUCCUACACACUGGUCUUUUUGACAUUCCUUAAUGGAGCCUAAAAACUCACGAAGGAUGUAUGGAUAUCUUUGUUAAAAAAGAUUGCACUUCAAUCCAAUUAGUA
rnacentral:lncRNA from 1 species